UAUUAAAAAAUUCAGGUAGUAAAAAAAUUUUUUAAAACCUAAUUAUUAUGGCGGCAUUUCAUCUUAUUAAAGGAACCUGUUUUUUAAUCGACAAUCCACGUUAACUUUAACUUUAAUUAUAAAUUUAUAUACCGCCAUCUAAAAAACUAAUUUUAUAAUAAUAUUUUCAAUAAAAAAUAAAAAGUUAGGUCAAGGUGUAAUCUAUAUUAAAGUAAAUAAUGGGUUACAUUAAAAACAAUUUAAGGAUUAUUUUAUUAAAACAUUUUAUAAAAAAGGAUUUAAAAGUAAUAAAAUAAUAAUAUUUUAUUAUGAUUAAGAUAAUAAAUGUGCACAUAUCGCCCGUCACCCUUAUCAAAAGGUAAGAUAAGUCG
rnacentral:rRNA from 1 species